rnacentral:rRNA from 1 species
GACGAACCGUGCGAACGUUGUUCGGAAUCACUGGGCUUAAAGGGCGCGUAGGCGGGCUGUCAAGUCCGGGGUGAAAGCCCUCCGCUCAACGGAGGAAUGGCCUUGGAUACUGGUGGUCUUGAGGAAGGUAGGGGCGUGCGGAACUCUCGGUGGAGCGGUGAAAUGCGUAGAUAUCGGGAGGAACGCCGGUGGCGAAAGCGGCACGCUGGACCUUUUCUGACGCUGAUGCGCGAAAGCCAGGGGAGCAAACGGG